GAUUAUGGCUCAGGAUGAACGCUAGCGACAGGCUUAACACAUGCAAGUCGAGGGGCAGCACGGGAGUAGCAAUACUUGGUGGCGACCGGCGCACGGGUGAGUAACGCGUAUGCAACCUACCUAUCAGAGGGGAAUAACCCGGCGAAAGUCGGACUAAUACCGCAUAAAACAGGGGCACCGCAUGGUGAUAUUUGUUAAAGAAAUUCGCUGAUAGAUGGGCAUGCGUUCCAUUAGGUAGUUGGUGAGGUAACGGCUCACCAAGCCGACGAUGGAUAGGGGAACUGAGAGGUUGGUCCCCCACACUGGUACUGAGACACGGACCAGACUCCUACGGGAGGCAGCAGUGAGGAAUAUUGGUCAAUGGGCGGGAGCCUGAACCAGCCAAGUCGCCGUGAAGGAAGAAGGAUCUAUGGUUCGUAAACUUCUUUUGCAGGGGAAUAAAGUGCAGGACGUGUCCUGUUUUGUAUGUACCCUGAGAAUAAGGAUCGGCUAACUCCGUGCCAGCCGCCGC
rnacentral:rRNA from 1 species